rnacentral:lncRNA from 1 species
GGAGCCAUCACGUGAAGAUCACAAGGCAAGAGCGAGAAAGAGAGGAGGAGGAUGCAAUGGAAAAGAUACAUAGGGGAUCAAAUACAUAUGAUGGUGGAAGUGAAAACCAUUCCUUUGUGCUUCCUUGUUUCCUGAAGGGGUGCCUCUGAAAUUCAGUGAUCUCAACAGGCCACGUGGAGAGAGAGGUCUGCUUGGACACAUAAGCCCAGACAUGCAUGCCACUUGCUCUCUUUUUUCCCAUUUAUUUCCAGCUUGGGGUGGCAGAUAUGUCCUCCCCAUAACUCAGGCUUACCAUCGAGGCUUAUAACUUCUUGCCAUUCCAGUUCCAUAAGCCAGUUUGAUAACGCUUACAGGGUAUCAUAUGUAGCCCAGCCAUUUCUGGAUAUAUAUUUUUUAUUUCUUGCUGCAUCACACACCUAUUUUCUGAUUCAGUGUAGCAGGACUUGCUACCAUUUAUCACAACGAGCACUGGAAUCUCUCUUCUGGAAGUGAGAAAACUGAAGUGAAGAGAGGCUGCAGAAUUGAUCUAAGGCUAGCAGGACUUACUGUUGAAGUCUAUCAUGGACCAAAGGUCUCAAACCAGUAAUCUUUUUUAUAAUUCCUGCUGUAGCUCAUGCAAUGCUAAUACUUUCUGUAAUGCUAAUUAUGUCAUUUGAAUUAAAUUUAAAGGUUCUUUAGAAACCUUUUUAAGACAGGUGAAUCCUGUUUUAAUAGGGUAAUGAUUACUUUGUAACCUUAUAG